rnacentral:rRNA from 1 species
GACGAACGCUGGCGGCGUGCUUAACACAUGCAAGUCGAACGGAAAGGCCCUGCUUUUGUGGGGUGCUCGAGUGCCGAACGGGUGAGUAACACGUGAGUAACCUGCCCUUGACUUUGGGAUAACUUCACGAAACUCGGGCUAAUACCGCAUAGGAGCUCCUGCUGCAUGUUGUGGGUUGGAAAGUUUCGGCGGUUGGGUCUGGACUCGCGGCUUAUCAGCUUGUUGGUGGGGUAGUGGCUUACCAAGGCUUCGACGGCUAGCCGGCAUGAGAGGGUGACCGGGGACAUUGGGACUAAGAUACGGCGCAGACUGCAACGGGAGGCAAAGGUGGGGAAUAUUGCGCAGUAAGCGGAAGCCUGUUGCGACGACCCCGCGUGCGGAAUGAAGGCCUUCGGGUUGUAAACAGAUGUCGCCUGUGACGAAGAGUGAGUGACGGUACUGAAUAAAGAAGCACCGGCUAACUACGUG